rnacentral:ribozyme from 13 species
ACUUCUUUUCUCACCCAUCUUUCUUUUUCUUCUUUUCCUUUUUCAAUCUUAAAAAAUCCCUUGCGUUUCCGUCUUGAAGAACCAGAAGGAGAAGGAGAAGGAGAAGGAGAAGGCUCAGCUGGAUCAUGGGGAAUUGUCUGAUGAACAGACAACAAAAGGCGCAUACAUCGCCAUUUUUUUUUCCGAAACUCUUUGGUUUCUUCCCAAGGCGGACAAAAUCGAUUGGGUAAAGGAUAAGCGCACUCGUUGGUACAUUUCACAGGUUUU